ACCUAUUCGCCGUUCUAUGGUUUGCUGGCGGAUUCUGCAUCGCCGUCUUCCAACUCUUGACACUCUCAUCUGUCAGGGCCUCAUCACGCCUAGUCACUAUCCUUUCUGUUUCAUGGACAGCGAAACGAUAGAGCAUGUUUUCUGUAACUGUAGUAAGGUUCGACCUAUUUGGCUGGAGUUCCUGACUUGGUUUAAGAAGGAGUAUGAUAUCCAUAAUUCCGACAUUUUUUCAAUGUUGGUGGUUGCUUGGGGUUAUAACUUCAGUUCCCAGUUGGAGAGUUAUUGGAAAGCAGGGAUUAUCACUCUUAUUUGGAGCUUAUGGAUGCAGCGAAACCGUUGUAUUUUUUAUAAUGGUAGCUUUGAGGCUAAAGCUGUGAUUCACUCGGUCAAGGUCUUUUUUCGGGAGAUGGAUGAGAAUUUUAAGCUUGGCGCCAUGGCUAUCAAAUUAGAUUUCAUCUAGGGUUUGUCCCUCCUCCCUUCCUUUCCCCUUCCCCUUCCCCUUCGGCCUUCUCCCACCAGUCCACCAUCACCCGCGCCGCCUCUUGCCCCAACCGUGUGCUCCUCAGCCCCCUUGCCUGGCGACCGUGGAGUGGCGGCGAAGAGGAGGCUCAGGUGGCGAUUUUAAGUGUCAGUCGAAUCUCAAUCUCACCGACCUCCCCGCGCCGCCUACCCUGCGCCUUGCCUCUCUCUCCUCCGACCUCCACUGAGGCUCUACCUUGCGUCACCCUGCCAUGUGUCGUCACCCCAAUCUUCAGCGCCCUAGACGACCUCCUGAACCCUAGCUGGUCGUCGCUGCCGCCACCCCAAUUCGGUGCCCAUCUUUAAUCGCGUCUCUUCUGUACAUUAGAGGAUCGAGUUUAUGCUUGAUUCGACUUUACUCAUAUUUUCGCCAAAUUUGAUGUAAACUCUAAACUUGUGGCUGAGCUGGUAACAGUCAAUGGCUUCAAAGCUGCUUAUGCAAUCAAAGAUGGUGUUGAGGGAUUGCGAUGAUGGAAGUGGCCUUUCUUGGAUAGCUCCGAAGAAGGCAGUGGCAUCGACCUCAGUAGUCUCACGGAUUCGUUUGGGGAAACAUCUCAGCUGCCUACUAAUACUUCACUGCUGCAUAUUUGGUGUUCUUGAAUACCUUGUAUAAGAUUCAAAUUCAACCCCUCAAUCUGCGACGCUGGAUUUGCAGGAUGCUUCUGAAGCCGUGUCUCUAGCCCUUGGCGUUGCAGUUGCUGCUGGUCUUGGACUAUUAGUUUUCAUAGAGGAAGGAAUGGAACGAUCGAGGGACAGGGCGCAAUCUGGUGGCAAAAAUUCAAAGCUAAAAAGCUGAAAAACACUAGGCCUUACUUGAUUAGAAUCUUGCAUACGGACAGACUGGUAGUGGGAAGACUUAUACAAUGCUUGGAGAGAUUGAUGACCUGGAAGUCAAGCUUAGUACAAACCGUGGAAUGACUCCUAGCAUAUUUGAAUUCUUGUUUGCCAGGAUUAGAGUGGAAGAAGAAAGUCGAAGAGAUGAGCAACUGAAGUACAACUGCAAAUGCUUUUUUUUUUUUUAGAUUUACAAUGAACAAAUUACUGACCUUCUUGAUCCUUCAUCCUCAAAUUUGAUGAACAUAUUUCUACCCUUCAAAACGCCGAAUCUCAGCGAUAGUGUCGAAGUGGCAGAUGGAGGAGCAAGAAAUGAUGAACAUAGACGAAGAGGAAUACGGGGAGAAAGUGACGUGUUCGAUACAUUACUCUAGCUACUUAGAUACAUUAUUCGGUUGGUUAAAUAAUGGAUGGUUAAGUUAUUUAGAUAUAUUUGACAUUUUGAUUAUGGAUGGAUGAAGUUAUUUGGAUGAUUUAAUAUUUAUAUAAUAUAUGUUUUGGUUGUAGUA